rnacentral:rRNA from 1 species
GCGAGGUUGCGGGUGCUAUACAUGCGUCGAGCGGACAGAAGGGAGCUUGCUCCCGGAUGUUAGCGGCGGACGGGUGAGUAACACGUGGGUAACCUGCCUGUAAGACUGGGAUAACUCCGGGAAACCGGAGCUAAUACCGGAUAGUUCCUUGAACCGCAUGGUUCAAGGAUGAAAGACGGUUUCGGCUGUCACUUACAGAUGGACCCGCGGCGCAUUAGCUAGUUGGUGAGGUAACGGCUCACCAAGGCGACGAGCGUAGCCGACCUGAGAGGGUGAUCGGCCACACUGGGACUGAGACACGGCCCAGACUCCUACGGGAGGCAGCAGUAGGGAAUCUUCCGCAAUGGACGAAAGUCUGACGGAGCAACGCCGCGUGAGUGAUGAAGGUUUUCGGAUCGUAAAGCUCUGUUGUUAGGGAAGAACAAGUGCAAGAGUAACUGCUUGCACCUUGACGGUACCUAACCAGAAAGCCACGGCUAACUACGUGCCAGCAGCCGCGGUAAUACGUAGGUGGCAAGCGUUGUCCGGAAUUAUUGGGCGUAAAGGGCUCGCAGGCGGUUUCUUAAGUCUGAUGUGAAAGCCCCCGGCUCAACCGGGGAGGGUCAUUGGAAACUGGGAAACUUGAGUGCAGAAGAGGAGAGUGGAAUUCCACGUGUAGCGGUGAAAUGCGUAGAGAUGUGGAGGAACACCAGUGGCGAAGGCGACUCUCUGGUCUGUAACUGACGCUGAGGAGCGAAAGCGUGGGGAGCGAACAGGAUUAGAUACCCUGGUAGUCCACGCCGUAAACGAUGAGUGCUAAGUGUUAGGGGGUUUCCGCCCCUUAGUGCUGCAGCUAACGCAUUAAGCACUCCGCCUGGGGAGUACGGUCGCAAGACUGAAACUCAAAGGAAUUGACGGGGGCCCGCACAAGCGGUGGAGCAUGUGGUUUAAUUCGAA